rnacentral:tRNA from 1 species
GUCCUCGUAGUUCAACGGAUAGAAUGCCUGGCUUCGAACCAGGUGAUAGGGGUUCGAUUCCUCUCGAGGACA